rnacentral:lncRNA from 10 species
CAGGCUGGAGUGCAGUGACACCAUCUUGGCUCACUGCAACCUCCACCUCCUGGGUUCAAGCAGUUCUCCUGCCUCAGCCUCCCUAGUAGCUGGGAUUAUAGGUGCCCACCACCAUGCUCAGCUAAUUUUUGUGUUUUUAGUAGAAAUGGGGUUUCACCAUGUUGGCCAGGCUGGUCUCAAACUCCUGACCUCAGGUGAUCUGCCUGCCUCGGCCUCCAAAAGUGCUGGGAUUACAGGUGUGAGCCACUGCCCAGCCAGAGAAGGACCUUUAAAAGCAAUAAGCAUAACUGCUGUUCCUUAGUGGGUUUUGUACAGACAUGUAUUUUUGUUUUUCAGCUAAGGAGACACCAGAGGGUGAUGGUUGACAGUAGUUGGUACCUCACAGCUGGGCACUGAUCAGGUAGGGGGUGUCAAUAUUGUUUAGGAUAAUGUAUAACUUUUC